rnacentral:rRNA from 1 species
AUUGCAUCGGCACUUGGUACCUUGCAGGCAACCCUUGAGCCAUGGAGUUUGAAGGAAUUUGGGUGUUUGGCGCGUACUGUCAGACAACUUCAACAACGACUGAAUCGUGUUCGGUCUCAGACUAUAGGCACUAGGCCUUCGGAUGAGGAGAAAAGCAUUGUAAAGAAACUGAAAGAGGCCUUGCUUCAAGAGGAGAUUUGGACUCGACAGUGUUCAAGAGUUCCGUGGCUCCGAGAGGGUGAUCGUAACACAUCAUAUUUCCAAGCGCAAGCAGCUCAACGCCAACGUAUGAAUAAGAUCUCAGAUCUUCGCCGAGCGGAUGGCACGAUUUGCGCUAGUGGAGAUGAGGACAAGGUGGAGGUGCAGAACUUCUACCAGCGACUCUAUGAAUCACAGGGUUUUGCGGAUCCUCAGCUACUAUUAUCACAUAUGCCAGUUAAAGUGACACAAGCGAUGAACAUAGAAGUUUCCAAACCCUAUACCCCGGAGGAAGUCAAAGUGGCACUAUUUCAGAUGGCUCCUUCGAAGGCACCCGGUGUUGAUGGGUUUACUGCAGGUUUUUAUCAGCGUCAUUGGGAUCUACUUGGUAAUGAUGUAACCGAGGCAGUACUUGAUUUUCUCAAUGGAGGGGAGCUGCCAGCGGGACUGAAUGACACGUCUAUAACUCUGAUCCCAAAGGUUAGACACCCCCAAUCGAUAUCACAGUACCGUCCUAUUGCACUGUGCCCAGUUUUGUAUAAAAUUGCUGCUAAGGCAAUCACCAAUCGUUUGAGAUGC